rnacentral:rRNA from 1 species
UACGUAGGGUGCAAGCGUUGUCCGGAAUCAUUGGGCGUAAAGAGCGUGUAGGCGGCCCGAUAAGUCCGCUGUGAAAGUCCAGGGCUCAACCCUGGAAUGCCGGUGGAUACUGUCGGGCUAGAGUCCGGAAGGGGCGAGUGGAAUUCCUGGUGUAGCGGUGAAAUGCGCAGAUAUCAGGAGGAACACCAGUAGCGAAGGCGGCACUCUGGGCCGGAACUGACGCUGAGGAGCGAAAGCGUGGGGAGCGAACAGG